rnacentral:rRNA from 1 species
CUUUUAUUGAGAGUUUGAUCUUGGCUCAGGACGAACGCUGGCGGCGUGCCUAAUACAUGCAAGUCGAGCGCGGGAAGCGAACGGAAUCCUUCGGGAGGAAGUUCGUGGAACGAGCGGCGGACGGGUGAGUAACACGUGGGCAACCUGCCUGUAAGACUGGGAUAACCCCGGGAAACCGGGGCUAAUACCGGAUAAUACAUGGUUUCGCAUGAAACCAUGUUGAAAGAUGGCUUUU